rnacentral:rRNA from 1 species
CAGCCGCCGCGGUAAUUCGAAGGGACCUAGCGUAGUUCGGAAUUACUGGGCGUAAAGCGCGCGUAGGCCGUUGAGUUAGUUAAUUGUGAAAUCCCAAAGCUUAACUUUGGAACUGCAAUUAAAACUGCUCGACUAGAGUUUGAUAGAGGAAAGCGGAAUACAUAGUGUAGAGGUGAAAUUCGUAGAUAUUAUGUAGAACACCAGUUGCGAAGGCGGCUUUCUGGAUCAACACUGACGCUGAGGCGCGAAAGUAUGGGUAGCAAAGAGGAUUAGAUACCCUCGUAGUCCAUACCAUAAACGAUGAUUGCUAGAUGUUAGAAAUUUAUUUUCAGUAUCGCAGCUAACGCAUUAAGCAAUCCGCCUGGGGAGUACGACCGCAAGGUUAAAACUCAAAGGAAUUGACGG